rnacentral:rRNA from 1 species
ACUCAAAUGAAUUGACGGGGGCCCGCACAAGCGGUGGAGCAUGUGGUUUAAUUCGAUGCAACGCGAAGAACCUUACCAAGGCUUGACAUGGAGAUGACCGGUAUAGAGAUAUACCAUCCCUUCGGGGCAUCUCACACAGGUGGUGCAUGGUUGUCGUCAGCUCGUGUCGUGAGAUGUUGGGUUAAGUCCCGCAACGAGCGCAACCCUUAUUUUCAGUAGCCAGCGAGUAGAGUCGGGCACUCUGGAGAGACUGCCGUGGAUAACACGGAGGAAGGCGGGGAUGACGUCAAAUCAUCAUGCUCUUUAUGUCUUGGGCUACACACGUGCUACAAUGGCUGACACAAAGCGAAGCGAACCCGCGAGGGGGAGCCAAACGCAAAAAAGCAGCCCCAGUUCGGAUUGCAGGCUGCAACUCGCCUGCAUGAAGCUGGAAUCGCUAGUAAUCGCGAAUCAGCAUGUCGCGGUGAAUACGUUCCCGGGCCUUGUACACACCGCCCGU